AUUGAACGCUGGCGGAAUGCUUUACACAUGCAAGUCGAGCGGCAGCGCGGGGCAACCUGGCGGCGAGCGGCGAACGGGUGAGUAACAUAUCGGAACGUACCCAUUGGUGGGGGAUAACACAUCGAAAGAUGUGCUAAUACCGCAUACGACCUGAGGGUGAAAGGGGGGGAUCGCAAGACCUCUCGCCGUUGGAGCGGCCGAUAUCGGAUUAGCUAGUUGGUGGGGUAAAGGCUCACCAAGGCGACGAUCCGUAGCUGGUCUGAGAGGACGACCAGCCACACUGGGACUGAGACACGGCCCAGACUCCUACGGGAGGCAGCAGUGGGGAAUUUUGGACAAUGGGGGCAACCCUGAUCCAGCCAUUCCGCGUGAGUGAAGAAGGCCUUCGGGUUGUAAAGCUCUUUCAGCAGGAACGAAACGGUGUGGGUUAAUACCCUGCAUCAAUGACGGUACCUGAAGAAGAAGCACCGGCUAACUACGUGCCAGCAGCCGCAGUAA
rnacentral:rRNA from 1 species